rnacentral:rRNA from 1 species
CGCGUGAGUAACCUGCCCUGGAGUGGGGGACAACAGUUGGAAACGACUGCUAAUACCGCAUAAGCCCACGAUCCGGCAUCGGAUUGAGGGAAAAGGAUUUAUUCGCUUCAGGAUGGACUCGCGUCCAAUUAGCUAGUUGGUGAGGUAACGGCCCACCAAGGCGACGAUUGGUAGCCGGACUGAGAGGUUGAACGGCCACAUUGGGACUGAGACACGGCCCAG